rnacentral:rRNA from 1 species
UACGUAGGGACCGAGCGUUGUCCGGAAUUACUGGGCGUAAAGCGCACGUAGGCGGCUUUGUAAGUUAGAGGUGAAAGCCCGGAGCUCAACUCCGGAAUUGCCUUUAAGACUGCAUCGCUCGAAUCAUGGAGAGGUGAGUGGAAUUCCGAGUGUAGAGGUGAAAUUCGUAGAUAUUCGGAAGAACACCAGUGGCGAAGGCGACUCGCUGGACAAGUAUUGACGCUGAGGUGCGAAAGCGUGGGGAGCAAACAGGGAUUAGAACCUCCG